UUGGGGUCAGAUUUCUGCUGCUGGAAUGCCCAGCGACACACAUUGUCAAGGCUUCUAGAUGGAUUACCUCUUUCAAUCAAACUGAUGGACUGUAAAAAGACAUAAAAGGAUGGAAAGAUUUUAUAUGGAAACCAUUUAUUUGGCCUUUCAACUCCUGGAGGAAAUAGUUCCUUCCCCACUGGUGCUGCUGACUUGGAGAUAAGGAAAAAAGAUUUAAGCCUGCCACAUCAGACUGGAGCAGCAAAGAAUACAUCAGGAG